rnacentral:rRNA from 1 species
AACGAACGCUGGCGGCAUGCCUAACACAUGCAAGUCGAACGAAGGCUUCGGCCUUAGUGGCGCACGGGUGCGUAACGCGUGGGAACCUGCCCCUCGGUUCGGAAUAACAGUUAGAAAUGACUGCUAAUACCGGAUGAUGACUUCGGUCCAAAGAUUUAUCGCCGAGGGAUGGGCCCGCGUAGGAUUAGCUAGUUGGUGGGGUAAAGGCCUACCAAGGCGACGAUCCUUAGCUGGUCUGAGAGGAUGAUCAGCCACACUGGGACUGAGACACGGCCCAGACUCCUACGGGAGGCAGCAGUGGGGAAUAUUGGACAAUGGGCGAAAGCCUGAUCCAGCAAUGCCGCGUGAGUGAUGAAGGCCUUAGGGUUGUAAAGCUCUUUUACCAGGGAUGAUAAUGACAGUACCUGGAGAAUAAGCUCCGGCUAACUCCGUGCCAGCAGCCGCGGUAAAGUAGACG